rnacentral:rRNA from 1 species
AUUGAACGCUGGCGGCAUGCUUUACACAUGCAAGUCGAACGGUAACAGGCCUUCGGGUGCUGACGAGUGGCGAACGGGUGAGUAAUGCAUCGGAACGUGCCCAAUCGUGGGGGAUAACGUAGCGAAAGUUACGCUAAUACCGCAUAAGCCCUGAGGGGGAAAGUGGGGGACCGCAAGGCCUCACGCGAAUGGAGCGGCCGAUGUCAGAUUAGCUAGUUGGUGGGGUAAAGGCUCACCAAGGCGACGAUCUGUAGCGGGUCUGAGAGGAUGAUCCGCCACACUGGGACUGAGACACGGCCCAGACUCCUACGGGAGGCAGCAGUGGGGAAUUUUGGACAAUGGGCGCAAGCCUGAUCCAGCCAUGCCGCGUGCGGGACGAAGGCCUCGGUUGUAACCG